AUCAGUUUAGAGAGAGAGAGAGAGAGAGAGAGAGAGGGAGUGCGAGAGAGAGAUCGUUCGAUUCUAACGGCGGUGAGGCAGAGAGAGAGAGACCGUUCGAUCCUAACGGCGGCGAGAGAGAGCAAGCGGACCUGAAGAACAAGUCAGAGGAGGCAUCGACGGUUUGUCUCUCUCUCGCCGUUCGAUCCUAUCGGCGGCGAGAGAGAGACCGUUCGAUCCUAACGGCGGCGAGAGAGAGAGAGAGACCGUUCGAUCCUAACGGCGGCGAGAGAGAGAGACCGUUCGAUCCUAACGGCGGCGAGAGAGAGAGAGACCGUUCGAUCCUAACGGCGGCGAGAGAGAGCAAGCGGACCUGAAGAACAAGUCAGAGGAGGUCUUGACUCUUGCGUGUUCGUGGACGAGGACUGAGACGAUGAUUUGAUUCGACUCAGAAAAAACACGGUCGCCGGCGUGCGUGCGUGUUCGGUGACUCAAACUGAUCGAUUACAAAAUAAAAGAUCUUUGUCUUAUCGGCGUUGUUCUUCUUGUUAUCGUUUUUUUUCUUCUUUUUCUUUCUUUCUUUCUUUCUUUCUUUCUUUCUUUCUAAUGUAUUGAUUCUUUUCACUGCUAAGUUUGUUGUCAGGACGGUGAUGUGUGGUUUGGUUGAGCUGUCAUGAUGCGUCUCUGGAGGUUUAGCACUUUGAGCCCAAUUGAUCUCUUUAUCUAUCAUGUCUUCUUAGCUUCUAUCAUGUUGUUAGUCGAAGCUUUAACAAUGCCAAUGACAAGAGACUGCUUCUGCCCCCAGCUUCCUGCUAGUUCCAAUUCUUACAUGACAAGUGAUCCUGGUGUUGUGAACUACUUCAAUCUUUUGUUAGAGAGAUGAAGCUCAAUCGUCAAGUCAGGCAAAUGAUGGAGAUAUUAUCAAGGAUGAUGCUAAACUCGUGGACCCAAAUGAUGGUAGAAUUCUCUUCACUGUACCAGAAUUCAGGGCAAAACCCUUGAUUUUACUGAGCCAAAUGGAGUCCAGAAGCAGGUUUGCUUACAAUGCUUGAAGCUAAGUAUAAGAUUGGAGAUAUGCUAUGGUUUGAAGAAUGAAUAAGAUUCAGAACCAAAAAGGUAAAACAUCAAACUGAUUCUUCUUGUUAUAGGUGUCUUUGACUCAAUACAUCUUCCGUUCUCGUCCACUUUGAUUUCCCAAUCUUUAAGUCAGUAAGUUGCUUUAAACACACAGAUUUACUUUAUUUCAAUUUUAUAAACUGUAAUGCAUUUUCAGAUACUCGAAGAGAGCUAAAUGGUGUCAUGAGUGUUUUCUUUGUUUCUUGUUUUUCUUUCUAUCAACAGUGUAACAAGAAUCUCAGGUUUAUGUUUCGUUUUGCAGGUUUUCAUAAAGUGGAUGUGUUUGGAAAAAAACAUUUUGCAGUAAAUUUUUUUUUUUUUGAGCUCUUCACAGUAACGUUUUUGAGUUAUGUUUGGUUAGGCUGAAGGGAAAGAAGAAGGAGAAAAUGAUGAAGAAGUUGAAGAAUCAGAGGGAGAAGAAUCUGAUUACAGAGAAUCAAGACUUCAAUGAUGGUGACAGGCGAUUAAAAUUAGGCAGAUGAUGGAGGGAUAAAUAUGGGGAUAUUAAAUAGUGGGUUUCUUUCUUUCUUUGGGCUGAAACAGGUGUGUGUUCGUGUUUUCCAACCAAGACGAUGAUUGAAGAAAGAAGAAGGUUCAUAGCAAAGCAAUCAGAUGAUGCUCUUCUCGGAGCUGUUGGAUGGUUCGUGCGGCUCUUGAAGUAUUUGUCAAUUUUAAGACCGAUAACAGUGUUAAAGUGACGAGAGAGUAAACAGGCCUGAACAAGUCAGAGGUUUGUGUCUGUGGCUGUGUGUUCCAAACCAGGACGAUGAAUCAUAAUUUCUCAAGGACGUACGAAAGCAUCAAGGUUUAUCACUCAUAGGGAGGAGACUUAUCUUGUAAGUAUGUUGUUGUCAGGACGGUGAUCUUGGUUGAGCUGUCAUGAUGCGUCUUUGGAGGUUUAGCACUUUGAGCCCAGUUGAUCUUUAUCUAUCCUCGUCUUCUUAGCUUCUAUCAUGUUGUUAGUCGAAACAUUAAAACGCCAAUGACAAGAGACUGCUUCUUCCCCCAGUCAUAGGCUUCCUGCUAGUUCCAAUUCUUACAUUACAAGUGAUCCUGGUGUUGUGAAGGAACUACGUACUUCUUUUGGUAGAGAGAAGAUGCUCAAUCGUCAAGUCAGGCAAUGAUAGGCUUCCUGCGAGUUCCAAUUCUUACAUGACAAGUGAUCCUGGUGUUGUGACUUGUAAGGAACUAGUUGCUUCUUUAGGUAGAGAGAAGAAGCUCAAUCGUAAAGUCAGGCAAAUGAUGCUGAACUCGUGGACCCAAAUGAUGGUAGAAUCCUCUUCAUUGUACUACUCAAGUGGAAGAGCACGGCCUGUGAUGGAGUCAAGAAGCAGGUUUGCAUGAAGAAUGAAGAAGAUUCGUAACCAAUAAGGCAACAACGUCAAACUGAUUCUUCUUUUUAAAUGGAGUCAAGAAGCAGGUUUGCAUAAAUUGGAUGUGUUUGAAAAAAGCUUGAAGGUAAGUUUAAGUUAUGAAAACACACAAUUUCCCAGUAAAUUAUUUUUCAGAGCUCUUCACAGUAACGUUUUUGAGUUAUAUUUUGUUAGGCUGAGUAACAAUUGUGUGUUUUCAUACUUCAGACUCCAGUGCCAAAUCCAGAACUGAUUCUAGUUAUUGAUGAGUUUUUUCUUAAUACCACUGAUGGUUUUGGUUGCAGGUCUAAGUGAUGAGUUAAGAUAUGCGUACUAAAGAAUCGAGUCCAGAAGCAAGUUUGGAAGAAAAGCUUGAAGCUAAGUAUAAGAUGGGUGAUAUGCUAUGAGUUUGAAGAAAGAAGAAGAUUCAGAACCAAAAGAUACUCGGAAGAGGACAAUCUGUUAAGCGGGAAUCAAGAACUAGUUUAACCUUUUGAUCAUUCAUCCGGGAGCUUACUGGAGGUAUUUGCAAAUGGACAAGGUGAGGAAGUUCGCUUUUGUACUGAGUCCUAUUCUGCAAGAGAGGUGAUGGAUGUUCAGAGGACAUGGCGUCUUCAACUCUCAUCUGACUUGACGAGAAACUCCACAACAAUCAAAAAGAUUCUGUGAAACAUCUCUCCACAUAAAUCAACUCAUCCCCGGAGGAGAGAAGAAGCUCAGUCGUCGACGCAAAGACUCCAUUGCUUUUCCCAACAAUUCAGGCAUGUCGUUCAUUACUCAACAAAAUCACUCAAUACAUUUGUUUCAGUAGUUCCCCUCCGAUAAUUCAAGGAAAUCAUAGCCAGCUCUACCAAACUGAUUCAGGAAAAUAGAGCUCUCAAAAGGCAAAAGCUAGAUGAUGCCAAAUUGUUACAAAACAGCAUGUUUCACUUGUAAUCUCACUCUGCAUAACUGAAACUCUUUCCUCCUCAGCAUGUAGAUUCUCUCAACGACAACAACAAAACAAGUCAACAACAAUAACAGAUAAAACCUCUGUGAUGAACAGAAGAGGACGUUGUUUUCAUGACUUCUUCAACUCUCAUCUGAGUUGACGAGAAACUCUACAACCAGAAAAAGAUUCUAUGAAACAGCUCUCUACAAAAAACAACUCAUCACCCGGGAGAAGAAGCUUAAUCGUUGAGGCUAAGACUCCAUGUUGUUCGAACAAAUGAUGGAGGUUCAGUUUCUUCUCAUUAAUGUUAGGGAUGAUGCUGAAUUAUCACCCAAACGGUGGAAAUCCCCUCUUCUUGCACUGUAAGUCAUCUCAAAAUCCUCUCUGCUUUUCUUUAUUUUGUUUUCUUUCAAGUUUAUCCAUCUCCCUGAACCUAAGUAUUUUUCAAUAUAUAAUCAUGUUCAGGCAUUUUCUUAGCUUCAAGUAGUCUUACUUACUUUAUAGGUAAGGUUCUUUAAUACAUCGAUCUAUUGUUAAUAUGAGAGAGCAUAUAUAUAGGAAGCAAAGUGACUCGGAAACUGUUUACUUGACACAUCAAAGAGUAAGUCGUCCUUCUUAACUUUUGUGCACAAUGUGAUUAGUAUAUACUCUUACUAUCAUACAUAAUUAGCCUUGUGUAUAUUUCAUAAGCUGUGUAGAUGACUAGGCCAUUCUCUUAGCCUUGAAACAUAAUUUUUUACGGAACUUGUUGAAAUGCAUCUUCGUUAGCUAUCAUUUUUGGUGUGUGUAGUUGCACUAAUGGUCUCAAGUUCUUUCAACAAUAUAAGAAACCUUGGUCUCAGUUUAAAAGCAAAUUUUGACUUAUUUUAUUGGUAACUACAAUUUCAAAUUGAGAAAAUUAAUACAAAGUCCUAAUUGUUUGUAAGUAA